AGAUUAAACUGAAGAGUUUGAUCCUGGCUCAGAUUGAACGCUGGCGGCAUGCUUUACACAUGCAAGUCGAACGGCAGCACGGGUGCUUGCACCUGGUGGCGAGUGGCGAACGGGUGAGUAAUAUAUCGGAACGUAUCCGGAAGUGGGGGAUAGCUCGGCGAAAGCCGGAUUAAUACCGCAUAUGCCCUGAGGGGGAAAGGGGGGGAUCCGCAAGGACCUCUCGCUUUCGGAGCGGCCGAUAUCAGAUUAGC
rnacentral:rRNA from 1 species